AAGUACAUGGCUAAACACAUAACCAACCAAAAACAUAUAUCAUUUAUAAGCCAAAUCAAUAGGUUAUCAACAUUACAAACAUAUAUGCCAUAUUAACCACAACGCCUAUACAUGCCAUAUAACCAAGUACACAAGUUCAAAAGUACCAAAACAAAAACUGGAUAGUGUGAUGAAAUCUCCAACAACUCCCAAUCCGAGCAAGCUUUGAAAUCACUAUAAAACAUGGAAAAUUAAAUAGAGUAAGCUAUUAAGCUUAGUAAGUUCGUAUAGCAAUAAACUCAACUUACCAUAUGAACACAAUUUAAGUAAUCAAACAUAUCAUAAUAUAACUCAUAUUGAUCCAAAAACCUAUCACAUAUUCAUUCACAAGGUUAGAUAUGGAAUUCACAAGUUUCAUAGACUCAAAGCUUAUAUGAUUCACAUACAUACCUGUUAUGAUAUGUAUCAAUCACUUAUUAUUUCAUACAUCAAUAUACCCAUUGAACCAUUUGGAAUAAUAUCGGAUACUCGAGAAUCUCACACCCUAAGUGCCAAUACAUGGUCGAAUCCAUCUCAAUAUCAUAUCUCAUAUGUAAAUGCUCAUCUCGAGCUAUCACCGGAUCUGCUCACACAAGCUGACGGUCAAGACGUAUCUACACGGUGUUGUUCACACAAGCUAACGAGAAUCCGUAACACAUGCUGAAUAACUUAGCCACCGGUAGAACUAGAACCCAAAACACAAUAACCCCUAAUAACAUGUCAUUUGUGUCCUAUCUAUUCCUAAGGUUCAACUGGGAUUUCACACGUCGCCAAAUCUUCAUCGAAAUUUCAGUGAAGUCGUAUUCAUAAAUAAUGCAAUAAUAAAGCAUUUAAAACACAAGUACAUUAAUACAUAUUAAUAUACGAACUUACCUCGAAUUUACACGGGAGAAUC
rnacentral:lncRNA from 1 species